rnacentral:tRNA from 1 species
GGCCUCGCAGCUCAGCUGGUAGAGCGUGCACGUACAAAUUGUAGGCGGCGUCCAUGCGUGGGUUCAAAUCCCACCGAGGCUA